rnacentral:rRNA from 1 species
GAUUUAUUGGGUUUAAAGGGUGCGUAGGCGGCCGAGUAAGUCAGCGGUGAAAUUUGCAGCUUAACUGUAACAGUGCCGUUGAUACUGCAUGGCUAGGAUCUGGUUGCUGUGGGUGGAAUGUGUGGUGUAGCGGUGAAAUGCUUAGAUAUCACACAGAAUAUCAAUUGCGAAGGCAGCUCACAAAGCCAAGAUUGACGCUGAGGCACGAAAGUGUGGGGAUCAAACAGGAUUAGAUACCCUGGUAGUCCACACUGUAAACGAUGAUAACUCACUGCCGGCGAUACACAGUCGGUGGCCAAGCGAAAGCGAUAAGUUAUCCACCUGGGGAGUACGACCGCAAGGUUGAAACUCAAAGGAAUUGACGGGGGCCCGCACAAGCGGAGGAACAUGUGGUUUAAUUCGAUGAUACGCGAGGAACCUUACCCGGGCUCGAACGGUGCAUGAAUAAGCAAGAGAUUGUUUAGUCCUUCGGGACAUGUAUCGAGGUGCUGCAUGGUUGUCGUCAGCUCGUGCCGUGAGGUGUCGGCUUAAGUGCCAUAACGAGCGCAACCCUUGUUGUUAGUUACCAACAGGUAAAGCUGGGGACUCUAACGAGACUGCCACCGUAAGGUGUGAGGAAGGGGGGGAUGACGUCAAAUCAGCACGGCCCUUAUGUCCGGGGCGACACACGUGUUACAAUGGGGGGUACAGAGGGCAGCCAUCCGGUGACGGAGCGCCAAUCUCCAAAACCCUUCUCAGUUCGGAUUGGAGUCUGCAACCCGACUCCAUGAAGUUGGAUUCGCUAGUAAUCGCGCAUCAGCCAUGGCGCGGUGAAUACGUUCCCGGGCCUUGUACACACCGCCCUAAGGGCGAAUUCG